AAGUCGUAACAAGGUUUCCGUAGGUGAACCUGCGGAAGGAUCAUUACAGAUUGUUUUCAAAAACAAAAUUGGACUAAGCUGUUGCUGGUUUUUUCGAAAGAGAAAGCAUGUGCACGCUUUGGCUUCAGUUUUUGACCACCUGUGCACCCUUGUGUGGAUUUUUGAAUAUUCAGGAAGAAAAAAAAAUUCCUGGUCAGAGAAAAUGUCUCAGAAACAUACAGUAUGGGACUUUUCUUGUAUUUCAGAUCUACAUCAUUUUUUUUUUUCUACAUACACUUUGUAUUACAUAUUGGAACGAUUAAAUGAUUCAAAUUUUCAUUUUGAAAACAACUUUCAACAACGGAUCUCUUGGCUCUC
rnacentral:misc_RNA from 1 species